rnacentral:rRNA from 1 species
AUUGAACGCUGGCGGCAGGCCUAACACAUGCAAGUCGAGCGGAUGAAGGGAGCUUGCUCCUGGAUUCAGCGGCGGACGGGUGAGUAAUGCCUAGGAAUCUGCCUGGUAGUGGGGGAUAACGUCCGGAAACGGGCGCUAAUACCGCAUACGUCCUGAGGUAGAAAGUGGGGGAUCUUCGGACCUCACGCUAUCAGAUGAGCCUAGGUCGGAUUAGCUAGUUGGUGGGGUAAAGGCCUACCAAGGCGACGAUCCGUAACUGGUCUGAGAGGAUGAUCAGUCACACUGGAACUGAGACACGGUCCAGACUCCUACGGGAGGCAGCAGUGGGGAAUAUUGGACAAUGGGCGAAAGCCUGAUCCAGCCAUGCCGCGUGUGUGAAGAAGGUCUUCGGAUUGUAAAGCACUUUAAGUUGUGAGGAAGGGCAGUAAGUUAAUACCUUGCUGUUUUGACGUUACCAACAGAAUAAGCACCGGCUAACUUCGUG